CACUACCACAAAUUGUUUUCACUACCACUAUGCGCUUAGUGGUAAUGCAUUUCAAAUUUCACUAAAAUGUGUCACUACCACUAGCUGCUUCGUGGGAGUGGAAAAAAUUUUCACUAUAUGGUUAGUGGACUACCACUAUGCGCUUAGUGGUAAUGCAUUUACUACCACUAACCAUAUAGUGAACAUUUUUUUCACUACCACUAAGCAUCUAGUUCAGCAUUUUAAAUUUCACUACCACUUAGUGCUUAGUGGUAGUGAAAAACUAGAUGCUUAGUGGUAGUGAAAAAAAUGUGUCACUACCGCCAUUCAAAGGGAUUCGGUCUCAAUUGCGUCUGCCUCGAGUGACUCGCACCAUUCUGAUACCACUCCAAUCUGGAUACUGCAACAGGUUAAAUUUUAACCUGAGCAAGAAACUCAGAUGUGGCCAACACGUAUUCGGCAUGCGAAUAGUCUUCCCAUGACUCGACACCAGUGUUGCCAGCUUCUUUUUGAAAGUCUUUUAGCUCUUUCUAGCUGAACAAAUAAUCUAUUAUUGCCAUGCUAUGUUCAUCAUUAACAUACUUUUGGCACAGUUUUCUGUCGGCGGCGGGAUAGCUGAAUAUUUGCACAAUUGCAGAAAUAUGGAAAGGUCGGAGUGGCACAUUUCCUGGGCCGCCAAUUAGUUGAGCUUGAGGAUAAGGGUCAGGAGACAAGCCGAUCUGGGCUAAGCAAACAACUACAGUAACAACAACAAAAACAACAGCAAGGGGUUAUGUCGGUGUAUCUUCACCAAGUCACUCUUUAAAUGUAAAAAAAAACUUUGAGCUGAUAUUAGUCCAACCGCCACAAAAACUCACUGCAUCAACUAAUUUGUACUGGAACUUGACCGCAUUGAACUUUCAUAUUUAA